rnacentral:rRNA from 1 species
GACGGGGGGGCAAGUGUUCUUCGGAAUGACUGGGCGUAAAGGGCACGUAGGCGGUGAAUCGGGUUGAAAGUGAAAGUCGCCAAAAAGUGGCGGAAUGCUCUCGAAACCAAUUCACUUGAGUGAGACAGAGGAGAGUGGAAUUUCGUGUGUAGGGGUGAAAUCCGUAAAUAUACGAAGGAACGCCAAAAGCGAAGGCAGCUCUCUGGGUCCCUACCGACGAUGGGGUGCGAAAGCAUGGGGAGCGAACAGG